ensembl:rRNA 5S_rRNA 5S ribosomal RNA
GUCUACGACCAUACCACCCUGAACGCACCGGGAUCUUGUCUGAUCUCAGAAGCCAAGCCCCGUUGGGCCUGGUGAGUACUUGGACAGGAGAAUACUACCCGCCCAGGAUU